AACGCACCUUGCGCUCCUUGGUAUUCCGAGGAGCAUGCCUGUUUGAGUGUCAUUAAAUUCUCAAUCUCUACAACUUUUGUUGUUAGCAGGUUGGAUGUGGGGGUUUAUUGUGGGCGUUACAACCUACUCCCCUGAAAUGAAUUAGCUGGAAUGCCUCGGCAAAUCCAACUAUCAGUGUGAUAAAUAUCUUACUGUGGUUGUUGCUUUUGAGGGUAUCCGCUUCUCAACUGUCUGCAAAGACAACUUGAAUCAUUUUGACCUCAAAUCAGGUAGGACUACCCGCUGAACUUAA
rnacentral:misc_RNA from 1 species